UGUGAAUCGGAUUUGCCUACAUUGAUUUCC
rnacentral:piRNA from 1 species